UGGGGAAUUUUGGACAAUGGGGGAAACCCUGAUCCAGCCAUCCCGCGUGUGCGAUGAAGGCCUUCGGGUUGUAAAGCACUUUUGGCAGGAAAGAAACGUCGCGGGUUAAUACCCCGCGAAACUGACGGUACCUGCAGAAUAAGCACCGGCUAACUACGUGCCAGCAGCCGCGGUAAUACGUAGGGUGCAAGCGUUAAUCGGAAUUACUGGGCGUAAAGCGUGCGCAGGCGGUUCGGAAAGAAAGAUGUGAAAUCCCAGAGCUUAACUUUGGAACUGCAUUUUUAACUACCGGGCUAGAGUGUGUCAGAGGGAGGUGGAAUUCCGCGUGUAGCAGUGAAAUGCGUAGAUAUGCGGAGGAACACCGAUGGCGAAGGCAGCCUCCUGGGAUAACACUGACGCUCAUGCACGAAAGCGUGGGGGAGCAAACAGGAUUAGAUACCCUGGUAGUCCACGCCCUAAACGAUGUCAACUAGCUGUUGGGGCCUUCGGGCCUUGGUAGCGCAGCUAACGCGUGAAGUUGACCGCCUGGGGAGUACGGUCGCAAGAUUAAAACUUAAAUGAAUUGAC
rnacentral:rRNA from 1 species